rnacentral:rRNA from 1 species
ACGAACGCUGGCGGCGUGCUUAACACAUGCAAGUCGAACGGAAAUGCCCUGCUUUUGUGGGGUGCUCGAGUGGCGAACGGGUGAGUAACACGUGAGUAACCUGCCCUUGACUUUGGGAUAACUUCAGGAAACUGGGGCUAAUACCGGAUAGGAGCUCCUGCUGCAUGGUGGGGGUUGGAAAGUUUCGGCGGUUGGGGAUGGACUCGCGGCUUAUCAGCUUGUUGGUGGGGUAGUGGCUUACCAAGGCUUUGACGGGUAGCCGGCCUGGGAGGGUGACCGGCCACAUUGGGACUGAGAUACGGCCCAGACUCCUACGGGAGGCAGCAGUGGGGAAUAUUGCACAAUGGGCGGAAGCCUGAUGCAGCAACGCCGCGUGUGGGAUGACGGCCUUCGGGUUGUAAACCGCUUUCGCCUGUGACGAAGCGUGAGUGACGGUAAUGGGUAAAGAAGCACCGGCUAACUACGUG